AUUGAACGCUGGCGGCAGGCCUAACACAUGCAAGUCGAGCGGGGUUUUCGGACCUAGCGGCGGACGGGUGAGUAAUGCGUAGGAAGCUACCCGAUAGAGGGGGAUACCAGUUGGAAACGACUGUUAAUACCGCAUAAUGUCUACGGACCAAAGUGUGGGACCUUCGGGCCACAUGCUAUCGGAUGCGCCUACGUGGGAUUAGCUGGUUGGUGGGGUAAUGGCUCACCAAGGCGACGAUCCCUAGCUGGUUUGAGAGGAUGAUCAGCCACACUGGAACUGAGACACGGUCCAGACUCCUACGGGAGGCAGCAGUGGGGAAUAUUGGACAAUGGGCGCAAGCCUGAUCCAGCCAUGCCGCGUGUGUGAAGAAGGCCUUCGAGUUGUAAAGCACUUUCAGUAGGGAGGAAGGGUGUUGUGUUAAUAGCACAGCAUUUUGACGUUACCUACAGAAGAAGCACCGGCUAACUCUGUGCCAGCCGCCGCGGUAAAAC
rnacentral:rRNA from 1 species